AUGGACAUGAGGGCCCCUGUUCAGCUGCUGGGGAUUCUGCUGCUCUGGCUCCCAGGUGCCAAGUGUGAUAUCCAGAUGACCCAGUCUCCAUCUUCACUGUCUGUGUCUCUAGGAGACACUGCCACCAUCACUUGCAGGGCCAGUGAGGACAUUGGGUAUGGUUUAGCCUGGUACCAGCAGCAACCAGGGAAAGCUCCAAAACUCUUGAUCUAUGUUGCUGAUAGUUUGGAGUCUGGAGUUCCAUCAAGGUUCAGUGGGAGUCAAUCUGGGUUAGAGUUCACUCUCACCAUCAGUGACCUGGAGGCUGAAGAUACUGCCUCUUAUUACUGUCAACAGGGUAGCAGUAUCCCUCCCACAGUGAUACAAGCCAUAACAGAAACCUCCCAGGGAAGCUGAAGUGUGAGUCUGGGCUGCCCCAGCUGCUCCUCCUGCUGCCUCCACAUGCUCAGAAUGUUGUCACAAAAGGCGAGUUAAUACUUGGAGAGUCUGAAUUGUGGCAU